UUUUCCUCCCCCCACCCCUCCCCCCAUUUUGCAGUUGAGUUACAGUGGCUCUUUCAGAAACAGGAGUGAAAUCCAAAACAUACAAAAGCUCUACAUAAACCUCCUGAAAAUCAGCUCUGAAGUCUUGGGCAGUUCUUCCAUUUGCAAAUGGACAGUCAGUACUCUUCCAGAAAUGCUUUCAAGUUCAUCAAAAUGUUACAGCCCUUCAUUGCUCUGAUUGCUACUCAUAUAUUUUUCUUUGUUCCGGAGUUAAAUUCUGUAUAUCUACUUCUGUCAGCUCUGCACAGCACCGAAAUGAUGGCUGAUUCAGAAGGUAAUGGAAAUUUUUUUUCCAGGUCAGUAAAUAUAAACUUAGGAUUCAGCAUGCAAACUAGUGAUGUUGAAGGAACAGAUUCAUGCUUUCAACCCUAAACAGAAAAGUCAAGCGCUUAUUUAAGCGGGGCUGGAAAUAGGGGACUGAAAGGUAAAGCAGUGACAAGCUUUCCUGCAGUAAACUUUUGAGAGAUUCACUUGUAUUUUGAGUUUUAUAAUUGACGCUUCGGACAUUCAGGAUUUCUUCUUUUUCCACAUUCUUGCUAUGUUGAACUUCAGAAUUAAGAUUAUUGAUAUUUCCCAUAGACGAAGAUGCAUUUGCUUUGUUCUCUCCUUCUGAAACUUUAAAAAUAUUAUUGUACGCAAGCGGCUGCUGGCCAGUAAGCCUUAUAGGAUGCUGGAAUAUAUUUUCAUGUAUAAACACAAGUGAAACUUGGAGCAAAACAGAAGUACAAUCACGUCUCUGAAGGCUUAGACUGCCAUCCUAACUACUAGAGCAUCGUUCCUAUGCAUAAUUAAAGCAAUCUUGUUUGAAUAAAGCUUCAUGAGAAAUGCAAAUUUGAGAGACGCUGCCUGAAUUCUGUGCUGCUGAGGCUUUCUGUGCAGUAGAACCAGAUGCCAAGAAAGAAGCAAGAGGGAAGUGUGAACCCAAACCUGCUUCUCAACAGCAAAGAAUCAUAGAGAGCCUGUUUCUCUCUCUGUUUUGUGUGCAGGGGCAGCUUCAGUCCUGGGGCAACUGUGAGGCAAAUAAAUGUAAAUG
ensembl:lncRNA